UACGGAGGGGGUUAGCGUUGUUCGGAAUUACUGGGCGUAAGCGCACGUAGGCGGAUUAGAAAGUUGGGGGUGAAAUCCCGGGGCUCAACCUCGGAACUGCCUCCAAAACUCCUAGUCUAGAGUUCGAGAGAGGUGAGUGGAAUUCCAAGUGUGGAGGUGAAAUUCGUAGAUAUUUGGAGGAACACCAGUGGCGAAGGCGGCUCACUGGCUCGAUACUGACGCUGAGGUGCGAAAGUGUGGGGAGCAAACAGG
rnacentral:rRNA from 1 species